CGGAGGAUGCAAGCGUUAUCCGGAUUCAUUGGGUUUAAAGGGUGCGUAGGCGGGCUAUUAAGUCAGUGGUGAAAUCCUGCAGCUUAACUGCAGAACUGCAGUUGAUACUGAUAGUCUUGAGUUUGGUUAAGGUAGGCGGAAUGUGCAGUGUAGCGGUGAAAUGCAUAGAUAUUGCACGGAACUCCGAUUGCGUAGGCAGCUUACUAGACCAAUACUGACGCUCAUGCACGAAAGCGUGGGGAU
rnacentral:rRNA from 1 species